rnacentral:lncRNA from 1 species
CAACACCUAAAUAAAGUAAUUCGAAAAAUUAAACAGAAAUAACACGAUGUUUUGAUUUAUACUAAUUAUAUAAAUCAAACAUAAAGGUUAUUCCUGAUUAAUUUUUCGAAUUAUUUUAUAAUUAAAGGCGUUAAGAAACCUUUGGUGACCCCACAGUUUAAGUGUCUAUCGUAGGUACGUCGUGAAUAGUGGUCGUUACAGACAAACGUUCACGUAAAUGUCCCAGUCAAUGGAUGAAUUUAAUGUGUCAAUCAAUGGCCACAGCCACACUGUUUUGAAUUUCAUUCUACUU